GAACAGCUGCUGCCCCAAGGGCCCCCAACUCCUACUUCAGGAACCCCAGACCUUCCCAUGAUCUGAUAACUAAAGCCUGGCACAGAGUGAGGCUCUCGAGACCCUGCUUUGGCCCCAAUGGCUGGGAUCUCUUCUGCCAUUGAAAUAAUGACGUGAACUAAAUGCUCACCAGGCCAGAAGGAUAUGCAAGAAACGGUGAUGCUGUGGCCCAGUGCUUUCACAGGCUCAAAAAGCUGCAGAGGCACACAAGGGGGCUCAACUAAUUCUGCCUGGAGGAUUCUCAGAAGACUUCCUCGAGGAGGUGACACUAAAAGUUAGCCAGGAAGAGGGAGGAACAGGAGACAGCACCCCAGGUGGAAAGACCAGAACACGCAAAGGCCCACAAGGGUGAAGGUACCUGGCCGUGUGGGCAAUGCCCAGCCCAGGUGCAGGUGAGUGCCCUCCUUGCAGUUCCAGCCCGUGACCAGCAGACGCGCACAGCUUUCCACCCUGCGGCCUUUGGGGGGAAAUGUGACCCGGGCACGGCCGUCAUGUUCCUUUCAGCUCCCAGCGGGACUUCAUCGGCUCCUCACGACCACCCCGAGGGAGGUGAAGUGACUUCCCCAAGGCCACAUAGCUCGCGAAUGGCUGAACCGGGAUACCUGCUGUCAAAGUCCAUGUCCUCAACCUACACAUGCUGCUUCCCCCGAACAGAAACCAGCCAGGCUUCAAGAAGGCGCAGAAAUCAAAGCCUGGGCCCCUGUGCUCCUCUGUGGGCAAACUUGUGGCCUGCCUGGACUCCACCGGGCGGAAUCUGAACGGACUCCUCCAAACCCACAGGCCUCCUCAGGCUGGAGGAAUCCAGAAGAGUCACUCACAGGGCAGGCCACAUGGAGGGGCCUCCCUCCAGGAGGAGGGGCAGGAGAAGCCCUCCUUUCCUCCAACUUCCUUUCCCUCUCAAAGGUAAACAAAUCUCCACCCUCAUCUCUAGCCAGUGGCAAGAAGAAACACACAAAGGUAUCCAGAGUCUCCCCUCCCUGCCCCUCCCCAGGCCUGGAGGGCCGGGAGCCUGGAAGGGACUUCCUGUCGCCAUGCCAAGGACCUCUCCCGGGGGGG